GCCCUCGGGUUGUAAAGCACUUUCAGCGAGGAAGAACGCCUAGUGGUUAAUACCCAUUAGGAAAGACAUCACUCGCAGAAGAAGCACCGGCUAACUCCGUGCCAGCAGCCGCGGUAAUACGGAGGGUGCAAGCGUUAAUCGGAAUUACUGGGCGUAAAGCGCGCGUAGGUGGCUUGAUAAGCCGGUUGUGAAAGCCCCGGGCUCAACCUGGGAACGGCAUCCGGAACUGUCAAGCUAGAGUGCAGGAGAGGAAGGUAGAAUUCCCGGUGUAGCGGUGAAAUGCGUAGAGAUCGGGAGGAAUACCAGUGGCGAAGGCGGCCUUCUGGACUGACACUGACACUGAGGUGCGAAAGCGUGGGUAGCAAACAGGAUUAGAUACCCUGGUAGUCCACGCCGUAAACGAUGUCGACCAGCCGUUGGGUGCCUAGCGCACUUUGUGGCGAAGUUAACGCGAUAAGUCGACCGCCUGGGGAG
rnacentral:rRNA from 1 species